rnacentral:lncRNA from 1 species
UUCAGGGGACUUCGUGAGUUGCGAAAUUGUUUACAAUUAAUUUUCGUAAAUUUCGAUGGGUUUUGGGAAUCGAUAAAUGGUACCGAUCGUCUGAACAUUUCAUUUAGUAGUUGUGGUGACUUUGAGUCACUUUGGUGUUGGUUUUUGGUUGUGGGCUGCUUGUGACUCCGUGAGAUCUUUCUUAGUUUGGGGCAACAUUUAGGAGCAUCUGUUGAGUUGCGGAUUUAGUAUUGGUUUUG